rnacentral:rRNA from 1 species
CCUACGGGAGGCAGCAGUGGGGAAUAUUGCACAAUGGGGGAAACCCUGAUGCAGCGACGCCGCGUGAGUGAAGAAGUAUUUCGGUAUGUAAAGCUCUAUCAGCAGGGAAGAAAAUGACUGUACCUUACUAAGAAGCCCCGGCUAACUACGUGCCAGCAGCCGCGGUAAUACGUAGGGGGCAAGCGUUAUCCGGAUUUACUGGGUGUAAAGGGAUCGUAGACGGGCAGAAAAGUCAGAAGUGAAAGCCCAGGGCUAAAGCCUGGGAGUGCGUUUGAAACUGCCGGGCUGGAGUGCAGGAGAGGUAAGCGGAAUGCCUGGUGUAGCGGUGAAAUGCAUAGAUAUUAGGCGGAACACCAGUGGCGAAGGCGGCUGACUGGACUGUAACUGACGUUGAGGCUCGAAAGCGUGGGGAGCAAACAGGAUUAGAUACCCCUGUAGUC